UAUAAAGAGAGAAGUCACUUGAGCCCUCCACACACUCAGGAUAAAACUCCUUCUGCUGGUUGCUCUGCUCACAGCAGGUGCUACUGCACACAGCAUCAGCCGUCGGUCUUUGUGGCAGUUCAACAAUGUGAUCAAGUGCACCAUCCCUGCCAGUCAUCCCUUGUUGGAAUACAGCAACUAUGGCUGCUACUGUGGUUUUGGGGGCUCAGACACUCCGGUGGAUGAGUUAGACAGGUGCUGCCAGACUCACGACAAUUGCUAUGAUCAGGUCAUGAAGAUGGAAAACUGCAAAUCCCUCAUAGACAACCCCUACACCACCUCCUACUCAUACUCAUGCUCUGGGACUGAGAUCACCUGCAGUGACGAAAACGACCCCUGUGAGGCCUUCAUCUGCAACUGUGACCGUGAGGCCGCCAUCUGCUUCUCCCAGGCUCCAUACAACAAGGAGAACAAAGGCAUUGCGUGUUAGACUUGUCACCUCAGUUACUGGGACACCAUCCCUGCCUGCCUGUUUGUGGUCACUACUCACUGCACCC